rnacentral:rRNA from 1 species
GACGAACGCUGGCGGCGUGCUUAACACAUGCAAGUCGAACGGAAAGGCCCUGCUUUUGUGGGGUGCUCGAGUGGCGAACGGGUGAGUAACACGUGAGUAACCUGACCUUGACUUUGGGAUAACUUCAGGAAACUGGGGCUAAUACCGGAUAGGAGCUCCUGCUGCAUGGUGGGGGUUGGAAAGUUUCGGCGGUUGGGGAUGGACUCGCGGCUUAUCAGCUUGUUGGUGGGGUAGUGGCUUACCAAGGCUUUGACGGGUAGCCGGCCUGAGAGGGUGGCCGGCCACAUUGGGACUGAGAUACGGCCCAGACUCCUACGGGAGGCAGCAGUGGUGAAUAUUGCGCAAUGGGCGGAAGCCUGAUGCAGCAACGCCGCGUGCGGGACGACGGCCUUCGGGUUGUAAACCGCUGUCGCCUGUGACGAAGCGUGAGUGACGGUAAUGGGUAAAGAAGCACCGGCUAACUACGUGCCAGCAGCCGCCGCGG